AACUAAUUUGAUACAGAAGUCCUCUGUGUCCACAGGAUACUGGUGUCAAGAUUCCUUAAAUUUCAAGGUCCUCUGAUGCUGAAGUUACAUAAACCUCUGAAGUACUUGGGCAGAACCUGGGCCAUCUUUCCAUGGACUUUGCAUCAUCACUGAGUGACUCUCAAUAUUUGAGAUAGGGUAAAGAUAUGGAUCCCACAAACAUGGAGGGCAUGCCCCCCGUGAAUAUGCAACUUCUAUUGACCCUGUUUCUAUGGAGACCACCAAUCAACACAGUGUGGAUUCAAUAAAAGCAUAUGUGUAAAAUGA